UCUCCAAAGCCUGUUUCUGCGUCUCCGUCUUCUGCCUGUGACGUUUUUUAACUCUUUUGGCAGCUGGUCCCUCAGUGCUGAUUCCAGGACCAGGUACCUCAUUUUUCUGUGUAAUAACAUCGUCAACAAUAUUGUUUGUUUGAUUUUCAGACAAAGGGGCGGCAGAUUGAUUGGCUAGAAUAUCCUGAAUAUCCGUGUUGACCUCCAAGGGAGUUGUACCUUCGACGGAGGUACCAAUCUCCAAAGCCUGUUUCUGCGUCUCCGUCUUCUGCCUGUGACGUUUUUUAACUCUUUUGGCAGCUGGUCCCUCAGUGCUGAUUCCAGGACCAGGUACCUCAUUUUUCUGUGUAAUAACAUCGUCAACAAUAUUGUUUGUUUGAUUUUCAGACAAAGGGGCGGCAGAUUGAUUGGCUAGAAUAUCCUGAAUAUCCGUGUUGACCUCCAAGGGAGUUGUACCUUCAACGGAGGUACCAAUCUCCAAAGCCUGUUCCCGCAUCUUCCGCCUGUGACGUUUUUUAACUCUUUUGGCAGCUGGUCCCUCAGUGCUGAUUCCAGGAGCAGGUAUCUCAUUUUUCUGUGUAAUAACAUUGUCAACAAUAUUGUCUGUUUGAUUUUCAGACAAAGGGGCGGCAGAUUGAGUGGCUAGAAUAUCCUGAGUAUCCAUGUUGACCUCCAAGGGAGUUGUAUCUACCUCCAAGGGAGUUGUACCUUCAACCGAGGUACCAAUCUUCAAAGCCUGUUUCUGCGACUUCGUCUUCCGCCUGCGACGUUUGUCAACUCUUUUGGCAGCUGGUCCCUCAGUGCUGAUUCCAGGAUCAGGUACCUCAUUUUUCUGUGUAGUAACAUUGUCAACAAUAUUGUCUGCUUGAUUUUCAGACACAGGGGGGGCAGAUUGAUUCGGUAGAAUAUCCUGAAUAU
rnacentral:lncRNA from 1 species